CAAUCCAAUGUCUCACAUAAGAAUUCCCAAUUUGAGAAUGUCUAAGCAAUUUCUGAGCUUAAAAGUGAUAGGAUUCUUAAGGACCCAUAUCCAGAUCAGAUGAGAGAAACUAGUACUGAUACUAGCCAAAAAGAGAAUUUAGAAGAGGAGAUUAGUACUGAGACUAGCCCGAUAGAAGAACCUGAGUUCGAAAUUGUUACUGAUCUAAGUGAUAAAGAGAAG
rnacentral:lncRNA from 1 species